rnacentral:tRNA from 1 species
GGAGAGGUGUCCGAGUGGCUUAAGGAGCACGCCUGGAAAGUGUGUAUACGUUAACAGCGUAUCGCGGGUUCGAAUCCCGCCCUCUCCGCCA